GCGACCUCGCGAGAGCAAGCGGACCUCAUAAAGUGCGUCGUAGUCCGGAUUGGAGUCUGCAACUCGACUCCAUGAAGUCGGAAUCGCUAGUAAUCGUGGAUCAGAAUGCCACGGUGAAUACGUUCCCGGGCCUUGUACACACCGCCCGUCACACCAUGGGAGUGGGUUGCAAAAGAAGUAGGUAGCUUAACCUUCGGGAGGGCGCUUACCACUUUGUGAUUCAUGACUGGGGUGAAGUCGUAACAAGGUAACCGUAGGGGAACCUGCGGUUGGAUCACCUCCUUA
rnacentral:rRNA from 1 species